rnacentral:rRNA from 1 species
GACGAACGCUGGCGGCGUGCUUAACACAUGCCAGUCGAACGGUGAAGCGCCUUCCUUUUUGGUGGGUGUGGAUGAGUGGCGAACGGGUGAGUAACACGUGAGUAACCUGCCCCCUUCUUCUGGAUAACCGCAUGAAAGUGUGGCUAAUACGGGAUAUUCUGGGUCUGUCGCAUGAUGGGUCUGGGAAAGAUAUUGUUUCGGUGGGGGAUGGGCUCGCGGCCUAUCAGCUUGUUGGUGGGGUGAUGGCCUACCAAGGCGGUGACGGGUAGCCGGCCUGAGAGGGUGGACGGUCACACUGGGACUGAGACACGGCCCAGACUCCUACGGGAGGCAGCAGUGGGGAAUAUUGCACAGUGGGCGCAAGCCUGAUGCAGCGACGCCGCGUGAGGGAUGGAGGCCUUCGGGUUGUGAACCUCUUUCGCCAGUGAAGCAGGCCUGCCUCGUUUGUGGGUGGGUUGACGGUAGCUGGAUAAGAAGCGCCGGCUAACUACGUG